GUUGUCUGUUAAUUCAUUUGUGUUUUCCGAUCAAACUAAUGGUUGUUUUGUUUUUGCUGCUGGUCUCCAUAUGAUUGGGAGUAGUUUUAACACAAAAUCUAACCUCUUGGAAGUCCUUGCUUUCAUCCUGAAGUUAUGGGAUGUUUUCCUGGGCUAGUGAGUACCUUUGUAGAUUAGGCCUCUAAAUAUGUUGCCAAAACCCUUUUGUAAAAGUAGUAAGUGUUUGUUGAUGUGCCUUUGAACCACAGUUAGGGCUUUGAGAAAUACCUUUUCAUUUAGUAACAAGACUAAACAAGGGGCUGGAUUCUUGAAUUCUUGCACUUCCAAGGAAGGUUUUUUUGGGGGGGGGGGAGGAUUUUUAAAGAAAUGUUCUUAAAAUGGGAUUUGGCCCUGGAAAGGAAGUGUUUUAAGGUUGGUCUACUCCAAACCUUACACCAGUGCUUCUCAACCAGGAUACCAGAUUCUUUUAAGGGUGAUGCAGGGUACCAGGCAAUAUUAGAUGUACCAACACCUAUAUUUGAUAAACCCAGAUUUUAAAUGAAAAAUUAAAUUUGUCAAAAGCAUUCUGACCUGCUGUGGUCAGAAAAAUUGCUCUAGUUUUGUAUAGUUAAGAAACAAUUACAGGCAUUUUCUGAGCAGUGCCUUGAUCUUGUAAGAAGGGUUGAGAACCACAAUCCUAAACUCCAUUGCAAGAUUCUGAUUUGUUUGGUGCUGCAUUCAGCUUAACAGUGGUUGGUAAAGAGAACAUGUUACAUAUUCUUCUUUUGAAACAGUUUGCCUUCACUUGGCUAAAAGCUUACCUUUAAGCCAUAUGUCUCUAUGUACUACCCCAAGGGUAAUGGUAAAACAAAUGAAUACACAUCAAGCCUCUCCCCUCAAUUUAAUCAUAAACACUACUCUUUUCCUAGUGCACACCAGGAAAUGUUUACCAUAUUUCAAAAACACCUUGGUAGAUGAUGAGAUGACUCUUGCUGGCUAAUAUUGCAGGGCAGGUUUUUUUUGUUUUUUUUUUUUCUUUAAAUUAGAACAAGGGAGAAACCAAACUGUUGUAUUGGUUUAUUAGUUUGGUUUGUUUCAAGCAAGUUGGACUGAGCCAAAGAACCAGAGUCAAAUACACUUGACUCUUCCUGCAAGUUCAGGACUGAUCUCUGUAACUGUGUGUGGGGGGGGAGGGUUGUUUUUUAUGAUCUGCUUGCGUAACCGCAUAAUGGUGCAAGAGCAGCUUGCAACUGCUGAAGUUCUGCUAGUUCAAAGUCCUUUGAAAUUACUUGCAAAGAAAGAACAAUAUAAUUGUUGUUUUUCUUAUAAUGGAUGACAGAAGGCUGAGAACUUUCAGAUUUCAGCUUUUCAUUUUUUUUUUUUUAUGGUGUAAGGCUGGAAGCUAUUGCAUGAUGCCCAACAGCAAAGGUUUAAGGGAAGACACUUCAUGUAUUUUACCACUUAUGUACACUACCAUCCUCUCCUCUUUCCAUCUUUGCUCCUCCCAGUCAAAACUAACAGUUUACGUUUUGUUAAGUCCCAACCAGGAAUCAUCAGAGACAAUCAUGGAGCACUGGGCUCCCCAUUUCUCAUACUUGGAUUUAAAAAAAAAAAAAAAAAAAAGCCACAGUGAGGCAAAAGGAAGCCUUCAUACUGUAUUUAUGACAACACUAGAGGGAAAUGUUUUGCAACUUCUGAGCAUUGUGAGUUACAAGUAACACCUCGUUAAAAUGAGUCUGAGCUAUGUGGGUAAAGGCUUUUUCUAAACAUGAAUUGCACUGCUAUUUGAUUGAAAACAGUGCAGUUGGAGGAGUUUGACCCAUUCCUGUCAUCCAAUGUAGAUGCAGUUCCCAUGCAGGAAAGGGUACAGACUAUUUGAAUGUAUACAAAAAGAUUAAGGAAUAGAAGGCUUUCAGUGUGAAAACAAUGUGGGCCCAUCUGUGCUGGCCAGUCAAGCUAUACUGGAACUUGGAUUCACUACAAGCAAGAGGAAUGAGGUGUCCCUUGACUAAUUUAAUGUUCUGUAGUCAGUAAAAAUAUUUGUUUGAAUUAUGUGCAGAAUGGGAAAGGUAGAGACAGCAUCUGGAAAUUCAAGCCAUGUAGCAACUUUUAAGGGAGUAAUGAAAGUUGUAAUUCUAUAGUAACAUGAACUGUUACUUUGCUCUGAGAUGUUUGGUUUCAAUGUCAAGUGCUAGUAUAAACAGGACAAACUCUCCACAGUAAUCUUCAUACAAUUUUUUUUGACUGUUUCAAUACAAUUCCGUUCAUGGGGAGCUUGCUGAGAAAAAGGCUUUCAGUAAUAGCAAAUACCUUAAUGCAGGCAGGGGCAUACCUCCACAGUCCUUAGCUUACUGAGACAGCCUAGAGCAAAAAGCCAAGUGCCUCUGCUGUCUGGGUGUUCAGUCAGACAGCACUGCUGUGGUUUUUCUUUUGGGAACAGAGUAAUAUAUACAUACAUCAUCAGCUUUGUCUUGGCUAUAUUAAAAAGAGCCUGUUUUGAAGAAAGUGCAAUAAGUUGCCCUCCAGUAACAAAGAGCCUAAUCCAUAGGCAGACUUAAUUAUUCUAAUUGUCUUGGUGCCUGCCACUUUAAGAGCUAGGCCAGGGAGAAGGCAGGUGUCUGAUGAGGGUGGCCAUUUAAUGCCCAGCUCUCUGAGUUGAAGGGGAGCAAUUUGUGGCCAGCAGGGAAGAAACAUCUCCCUGCUGAGUUCUGCUGCUCCAGAAAGACCUAGAAGCCGCAGAGAUAUAUCAAGAGAAAGUGCAGGAGUUUGCAGCAAUUUCAGGAAUUCUUCAUUUGGGUCUAAGGAAAUACAGCAAAGACUUGCAGAAUUUGAAGAACUGCAAAUUCUUGGAAGUGACUGACUGCACAGAUUUUGUGUAAACUUCUCCAUUUUUUCAUCAGAGCUAGUCAAAAGAUCACCCUUUGCGAUCAGAAUGUUAAAAUAUAGUCUUCCAUAUUUCUAAAAAUGUUUGCCACUGCUUGAUUAGGAGCAACAUGACAAAUUCCAGGCUUGUUUAAAUCAUCUAUUGUCAUACUGGACUUGACCACACUUUUCACCCUAUUCUAGUCAUUGAAACAUUUGUUAGUGUGACUUCCACAUUAGAAAUCUGCAUGUGGCUAACCUGAAGUAAAAGCCCUGGUUAUAAAAUAAAUAAAUAAAUAAAGGUGCAUUCCUACAAGGACAUUUGAACUGAGUCAAAUCUGUAAACUUCAGGGAAUGACUGCUUGGCAGAUCUGUUGCUGUUGCCACUGCUGUUUCUGUGUCUUGUUGUGUUUUUUGUUUUGUUUUUUUUUGUUUGAGAAAUACACAAUUUAUGAUGUAUGUGCUAGCAUAUCAUUGCCUGCUCCUUAAUUGGCUCAAUGUAAGAAAUGUUCAAGUAUGUGAUUUUUAUGGCUGAAAACAAAUAAUGGAGGAAAUUUUUCUUGCAAAAAUUAAUUUUUGUUCAGCUUUGGUAACUGUUACCACCUAAUAGCUGCUAAUCUGUGGAGGGUAUAAAUGUUCUUGCAGUCUGUUUUAAAAGUUUCAUGCAUGUGUUUUUUGGUUUUUUUUCAGUUGAUAGGCAUGGAAGACUGUAUUGGUACCCCUGAGUCUUAUCAGGACCCCUGACUUCAGAGAACAGGGUCAUUUUCUCUCUUCCUUGCUCUCUUGCUGUUUUGUCUAUUUUAAAACUAGCUGAGAAUACUUAAACGAAGUUCUGGUGACAUUGGAGUGAUAUAGCUGUGAUGGUCUAGGAAAAAUGCAAGUAGCAAGUUGGUCCAAUAUAGAGUAUUGCCCACAAAUACCCUUAUUCUAAAUGGAGUUCUGUUUCUUGUGACUGUUAUAUACCUUGCUGCAGAGGUCAAUGCAACUUAUUCAGGAUUAUCUAUAACAAGAUACCAAAGAGCCAAGACUGAAGGGGAACAGUGGUCAAGAUGCCAGAGACCUCCAACUCUGGGGUUCCUCUGACAGUAGUUAUAUCUGAACAAAAAUAAAAAAUUAGAUUAAUCCCUUCAGACUGUCAGAGUAGCGAGCUUUCACUGUCAGGCCUGGGGCGUCUUUGAAGAAUUAACAUUUUGUAAUAGGUUUGGCAGUGAGAUAGCAGUUUAACAUUAUGCUAAUCCAGUGUGGGCUUGUCCCACUUCAAUGGUUGGACACUAAAGAGGUUUGAGAUCGCUGUAGACUCCACGGCAGCAGAACUGGGAUUUUAGCUGAAGGUAUAGAGGCUCACGCGUUCAGAUACACUUUGUUAUUGAUUCAUCCGUAAUGAUGGAACUGAAACCCUGAUAGGAAAGUCCUGGAGGAUCUAGGAUUUUUAUUUUUUGAAUACUUUAUAACUGUUACAAAGGACUCUUCUGGGGAGGUCACUAAAUGGGAUAAUGCUUCAAGAAAAUAAAUGGGAAACCUGAGCCUGCCUGGCCUGCAUUUGGAAAUGCACGUUUAAGCCUGAAAACCUGUGCUGUGUUCCUAACUGUCCCCAAGAGCAGAGAGCUGAUUACUGAAUUGAGGGUAAAGGCUACACACCAAAUAGUAGCUUAGGUGCCUCCUACCACUCUAGGUAUUUGAAGGAUGAAAAUUGGAUUAUGGAUGUUGCCAAGAGGAAGGACAUCUGUUUUCCAGGGCAAGAAGAUUCUCACUGGCUCUGACUUGCACAUGCAUUGAGUUUGAAGUUUUUUUUUUUUCUGAAAAGACAAUUGCAGCAUUGCCACCUUCAAACAUUCAGAACUCAUGAGUCGGGGAAUAGGAACAUCUUGAGACUGGAUUAAAAAAAAAAAGGGUUUUAGAAAAUCACCUUGACAUCUUUCACAUGCUUUGCAUAUGUUUAAACCUGAGGAUCACACUUUUUUGAUCUUUAUUCCUCCACAGGUGAAAGGACUAAACCAUCCCCGGGGCAUAGUGUGGCAUGCAGGCCUCGGGGCAGAUUGGUGGGGGGGAAGAGGGAGGGGCUGAGGCUGCACUGCCACAACAAGGAUUGACCCCCUCACUGAAACGCCAGCAUCUUACCAGUCGAUGUGCUCUGCCCAAAAAUGUUGCCAACCUCUAGACUGGACAUUCUUUUAAAAAAUAAAAUUGAAAUUCUGCAGUUUAAAUAUGAUAUUAUAAACACAUUUUUAAAAA